GUGCGAGUGUGUGUGCGCCGGGCGGGCGGGCACUGCAGCUUCUUCCUCCGUGGAGCGGAGAGCGAGACAGAGCUACAGCGAACGAGAGAGCGGCGAAGGCGGGUAGAGGGGCGCGGGCGAGGCGGCGCAGCCAUCCCCGGACCAGGGGCCGCGCCGCCACCAUGCUAAACAACCUGACGGACUGCGAGGACGGCGAUGGGGGAGCCAACCCGGGUGAUGGCAACCCCAAGGAAAGCAGUCCCUUCAUCAACAGCACCGACACAGAGAAGGGAAAGGAGUAUGAUGGCAAGAACAUGGCCUUGUUUGAGCCUCCUAGCACUGACACCCUCCCUCCAUAGGAGGAGAUGGACACCAGCCCUAUGGUGUCCUCCUUGCUCAGUGGCCUGGCCAACUACACCAACCUGCCCCAGGGAAGUAGGGAGCAUGAAGAGGCAGAAAACAAUGAGGGUGGAAAAAAGAAGCCGGUGCAGGCCCCACGCAUGGGCACCUUCAUGGGCGUGUACCUGCCGUGCCUGCAGAACAUCUUUGGCGUCAUCCUCUUCCUGCGGCUCACCUGGGUGGUGGGCAUUGCAGGCAUCAUGGA
rnacentral:lncRNA from 1 species